rnacentral:rRNA from 1 species
GGUUGCGAUCAUACCAGCACUAAUGCACCGGAUUCCAUCAGAACUCCGCAGUUAAGCGUGCUUGGGCGAGAGUAGUACUAGGAUGGGUGACCCCUGGGAAGUCCUCGUGUUGCAACCC